rnacentral:lncRNA from 1 species
UAAGGAGAUCUUGAAGUCCGAAUAUAGAAAGAAGUGUUGGAUGUGGCUCAUGUGAUUUAUUCAAGACGAUCUAUAAAAAUACAGUUGAUCUAUUUAAGUCAAUUUAUAAAGAUACGGUAGGUCUAACGGUUAGGAUGUAUUUGGACACGUUUUUGAUGGAUGGACGUGAUUUAAUAUCUUUACAUUAUAUAAAUAUAUAACAUACAGGAGUUCUGAUCUAACUCUAAUCCAAUUUUCUGUGACUGCUUUAUCUCCGGAGACAAGGGAAUUAGAUUCAAAACGUCUCGUUUUCUUACAAAUCGCGAAUGAGGACAAACCACGAGCAAAAAUCGCGCCUACUAAUCGGAUACAGAAAUCAAAAUCGUGGUGUUCUAAUAAAGUUU